UCAAUACUUUGAACAAUUGCAGUUUUAAGAUAAAUUCAUUCUAUUGUUAUUAUAAUUAAAAUUAGGAGCAUAACAGUGCUCUCACAUGUGCUGUCCAGCUUGAACCUUCUGAUUUUUGGCACUGUUCACCCACCCUGUUUCCAACUUUCUCUAAACAUCGAUCCGUCCAUUUUUUUAAAGCCGCUUAUCCUCACAAGUGACAUGGGGAGUAGAACCAAUCGGAGAUUUUUAAAUCAACUAUGAGUGUGAAUGCUUGCUUGUUUGUCCCUCCGUUCCGUGCGAUCGACUGACUGCGCAGUCGAGUGUGGCCGUGCCCCAGUUUGUCCCCGCAGGUCAUCCGGGACGAAAAUGACAGAAUUUCUUGGAGAAUUUUAUAUGAUCUUCUUUGAAGUUGAAGGUUUGCAUAAAUAAAAAGCACAAUGUCCUUAAAGAACAUUGGGAAGCAGAGAUGAUGAGGUCACGGUUUUGGAACCUCCCGAUCGGUUAACUGAUCUCAUGAAAAUCAAAAGAAAUCGGCCAGGGAAUCCGGGAAAGAAUGGUGCGUCUCCAAAAGUCUGCCCCAUAAAAAUGCCCUUCCUGACACAACCCAUCUUGGGGAGUCGAGGCCCCAGUGAGAUACGAAGUCACGCCCCUGGUUUGGUUUACCAAACCAAUGCUCUAACCGCUGAGCUAUGGGGCCUCUCGAAGCAUGGCUCAUCCUUGGGUGCAAUUUCCAUUUGCUCAACGGUGCCAUGGUCAUCUGUUCAUACAAUAAAGCGCAAGUAUAAACAUGGGAAUGUCCACCCGUCACACCACUCAGGAAGGAAAUGUGCUUGUUUUGGUCCAAAGUGUGCGAAUCAACCCCAGAACAAAAGCUAAAGACUUUGUGAACC